CAGUCGCCGCGGUAAUAUGGAGGGGGCUAGCGUUGUUCGGAAUUACUGGGCGUAAAGCGCACGUAGGCGGCUUGGUAAGUUAGAGGUGAAAGCCUGGAGCUCAACUCCAGAAUUGCCUUUAAGACUGCCGAGCUAGCAGGUGAGAGAGGUAAGUGGAAUUCCGAGUGUAGAGGUGAAAUUCGUAGAUAUUCGGAAGAACACCAGUGGCGAAGGCGGCUUACUGGCUCAUACUGGACGCUGAGGUGCGAAAGCGUGGGGAGCAAACAGGAUUAGAUACCCCUGUAGUCCCUGUCUCUUAUAC
rnacentral:rRNA from 1 species